AAUAUAACAAAAAAUAUUUCUUCUUUGAUUAUAAUAAAGAGAUUCUCCCUUUCGAGUAUAAGUAUGUCUUUGGAAGAACAAUACGACUCGGGGUACAACAUUAGACCCAUUGCACAAGUUUUUAUUGCGGUCGGUGUUAUGAUCUUCGUUUUAAUUUUGAUAUUUAUAUUAGUCAAAAUUUAGAGAAACGUCGCAGUUAAAAGGCUGCAUGAUGAUGAGAUUGAAAUGGGGAAUCCUUAAAAUUAUUUUAUGAAAAAUGCUGUAAUUGGGAAUGAUAUAAAUUUGAUAUAGUAUUAAAAAUGUUGUAAUGGAAUGAAAUGAAUUUGAUAAAGUACUACUUUAUUAUGAAAAAUAUUGUAAUGGGAAUAAAAUGAAUUUGAUAUAGUA